rnacentral:rRNA from 1 species
GAUGAAGAACGCAGCGAAAUGCGAUACGUAGUGUGAAUUGCAGAAUUCCGCGAAUCAUCGAGUCUUUGAACGCAAGUUGCGCCCGAGGCUUGUCCGAGGGCAUUUCCGCUAGAGCGUCACCGCGCCCCCCACCGAUCCGCUCCCGCCGCGAGGCGCCAGUCGGGUCGAGUGCAAGUGGCCGUCCCGGCGAAGUGGCCUUCUUUCACGAGGAGGCCGUCCUUGGAAGGGUCGGCUGAAAUGGAUGGAAUCGGGCCGCCGUGGUGACACAGUCCGCGAUCGGGUGAUUUUGUCGCGAGCCUCCUGCGCUGCGGGAGGCUCUUGGUGAAUUUUUCUAAGUGCUUGGCUGCGUCCCCCAGUUGGCUCGGGUUACCUCAUGCAGGUCGAGCGCGCCCCCGCGGCGCGCGUCACGCAUCAGACCUCUAAUCGGAAAAGACUACCCGCUGAGUUUAAGCAUAUCAAUAAGC